AGGGGCUCUGGUUCAGUGGCAAAGCUUCUAUCUGGCAAACAGAAGACCCCCGGUUCAAUUCCUGGCGUCUCUA
rnacentral:tRNA from 1 species